rnacentral:rRNA from 1 species
GACGAACGCUGGCGGCGUGCCUAAUACAUGCAAGUCGAACGCUUCUUUCCUCCCGAGUGCUUGCACUCAAUUGGAAAGAGGAGUGGCGGACGGGUGAGUAACACGUGGGUAACCUACCCAUCAGAGGGGGAUAACACUUGGAAACAGGUGCUAAUACCGCAUAACAGUUUAUGCCGCAUGGCAUAAGAGUGAAAGGCGCUUUCGGGUGUCGCUGAUGGAUGGACCCGCGGUGCAUUAGCUAGUUGGUGAGGUAACGGCUCACCAAGGCCACGAUGCAUAGCCGACCUGAGAGGGUGAUCGGCCACACUGGGACUGAGACACGGCCCAGACUCCUACGGGAGGCAGCAGUAGGGAAUCUUCGGCAAUGGACGAAAGUCUGACCGAGCAACGCCGCGUGAGUGAAGAAGGUUUUCGGAUCGUAAAACCCUGUUGUUAGAGAAGAACAAGGACGUUAGUAACUGAACGUCCCUUGACGGUAUCUAACCAGAAAGCCACGGCUAACUACGUG